GGGGAUGCAAGGCAUCGACGGGAAAUAUGCACUUUUAUAGAUCGUUAGGGCGCACCGGUGCGUUAAACGGAAAAAAUAACUGAUAAAUCAAAUUUGUCAGAUGAAGAAAGUUAUUUCUUAGCCAACAGAGGCAAUUUUGCCUUUGCUCAGGUUCAAGCAUAUAACUGAUUCUCUCUCUUUAGUUUUUUUCCGAUUCAAUCUAAAGAGGGAUAAACCAAUCGGAAUAAGACUCUAAAAAGUAAUCGGUUGUAUUUAGAGUUGAUUAAACCCUAACCGGCUGUCUGCGACGAUUUGAUUGUUUAGGCGAGCAGGCAAGAGUAAAAAUAAUCUAUCCCUAACUAAAAAUCUAUUAAGGUGUUUUCUCGGACGCGGGUUCAACUCCCGCCAUCUCCACCA
rnacentral:tmRNA from 1 species